rnacentral:rRNA from 1 species
UUCCCUCUUUCUUCCUGCUUUCCACAUGCAAGUCGACCGGCAGCGCGGGCUUCGGCCUGGCGGCGAGUGGCGAACGGGUGAGUAAUGCAUCGGAACGUGCCCAGUAGUGGGGGAUAGCCCGGCGAAAGCCGGAUUAAUACCGCAUACGACCUGAGGGUGAAAGCGGGGGACCGAAAGGCCUCGCGCUAUUGGAGCGGCCGAUGUCGGAUUAGCUAGUUGGUGGGGUAAAGGCUUACCAAGGCGACGAUCCGUAGCUGGUCUGAGAGGACGACCAGCCACACUGGGACUGAGACACGGCCCAGACUCCUACGGGAGGCAGCAGUGGGGAAUUUUGGACAAUGGGGGCAACCCUGAUCCAGCCAUGCCGCGUGCGGGAAGAAGGCCUUCGGGUUGUAAACCGCUUUUGUUCGGGAAGAAAUCCUCUGGGCUAAUACCCCGGGGGGAUGACGGUACCGGAAGAAUAAGCACCGGCUAACUACGUG